rnacentral:rRNA from 1 species
UACGUAGGGUGCAAGCGUUAAUCGGAAUUACUGGGCGUAAAGCGUGCGCAGGCGGUUAUGCAAGACAGAUGUGAAAUCCCCGGGCUCAACCUGGGAACUGCAUUUGUGACUGCAUGGCUAGAGUACGGCAGAGGGGGAUGGAAUUCCGCGUGUAGCAGUGAAAUGCGUAGAUAUGCGGAGGAACACCGAUGGCGAAGGCAAUCCCCCUGGGCCUGUACUGACGCUCAUGCACGAAAAGCGUGGGGGAGCAAACAGG